UGCAUCGGGCGAGGAAGACCGGUCUGGCAACUCGCGCUUUCGCCCUUAUUGGCUCGUGCGCUACUGCGCGGAGUGUGCAGAAAUGAAAUAACCAGGCUGAUUAUUGAAACAGAACAAGUAUUGGCCCUCAAUGACAGUUGUGACGUUUGCAAUGUACAGUGGAAGAGCGCUACUGCUGGCCGGAUUUCUACAUGUGUGAAUUAGCAAGCGAGAAGAAAACAUAUGUGAGUGCUAGACAUAGUGCACAGAAUAACAAAAUUGAAAAUGAACUGUCAGAAUGGCAGCUGUGUUUUU
rnacentral:lncRNA from 1 species